rnacentral:pre_miRNA from 1 species
AGUGGAAUAAUUUGGGUCAAAUGGUAAUUCCAUUCCAAGUUUUUAAGAAAUCUCAGUAUUACUUUCCAAAUUGGCUGCACCAAUUUGCAAUCCCAUCAGAAU